rnacentral:rRNA from 1 species
UACAGAGGUGGCAAGCGUUGUUCGGAAUUACUGGGCGUAAAGGGCGCGUAGGCGGUCUUGUAAGUCUUGUGUGAAAUCCCUCGGCUUAACUGAGGAACUGCACGGGAUACUGCGAGACUUGAGAUCGGGAGAGGGAAGCGGAAUUCCGGGUGUAGCGGUGAAAUGCGCAGAUAUCGGGAAGAACACCCGUGGCGAAGGCGGCUCUCUGGGACGGUACUGACGCUGAGACGCGAAAGCGUGGGGAGCGAACAGG